AUUGAACGCUGGCGGCAGGCCUAACACAUGCAAGUCGAGCGAGUGGCGGACGGGUGAGUAAUGUAUGGGGAACUGCCUGAUGGAGGGGGAUAACUACUGGAAACGGUAGCUAAUACCGCAUACCAUCAGAUGUGCCCAGAUGGGAUUAGAUAGUAGGUGGGGUAACGGCUCACCUAGGCGACGAUCCCUAGCUGGUCUGAGAGUAUGAACAGCCACACUGGAACUGAGACACGGUCCAGACUCCUACGGGAGGCAGCAGUGGUGAAUAUGGCACAAUGGGCGCAAGCCUGAUGCAGCCAUGCCGCGUGUAUGAAGAAGGCCUUCGGGUUGUAAAGUACUUUCAGCGGGGAGGCGUUACCCGCAGAAGAAGCACCGGCUAACUCCGUGCCAGCAGCCGCGGUAAUAC
rnacentral:rRNA from 1 species